GUGUUUAAAGCAGCCUCUUGGGGCACUGAAUACAUUAGCAUGGGAUAAUAAAAUAGGAUCUUCACAAUAUAUUUUAUUGGUUUAAAUUGGAUAUGAAGAUAAUGAUUAAUAGGGACAGUUGGGGGUAUUCAUAUUGGGUGGUUAGCGGUGAAAUGCUCGGAUCCAUUCAAGAUGAACUAAAGCGAAAGCAUUUACCAAGGAUGUUUUCAUUAAUCAAGAACGAAAGUUAAGGGAUCGAAGACGAUUAGAUACCGUCGUAGUCUUAACUAUAAACUAUGCCGACCAGGGAUAUGAGUUGUUAGGAAUAUACGAAAGUAUAUUCAAUUUCUUCUUAUGGACCUUGUGAGAAAUCAUAAGUUUUUGGGUUCUGGGGGGAGUAUGGUCGCAAGGCUGAAACUUAAAGGAAUUGACGGAGGGG
rnacentral:rRNA from 1 species